AUACGUAGGUGGCAAGCGUUGUCCGGAAUUAUUGGGCGUAAAGCGCGCGCAGGUGGUUCCUUAAGUCUGAUGUGAAAGCCCCCGGCUCAACCGGGGAGGGUCAUUGGAAACUGGGGAACUUGAGUGCAGAAGAGGAUAGUGGAAUUCCAAGUGUAGCGGUGAAAUGCGUAGAGAUUUGGAGGAACACCAGUGGCGAAGGCGACUGUCUGGUCCGUAACUGACACUGAGGCGCGAAAGCGUGGGGAGCAAACAGGAUUAGAUACCCUGGUAGUCCACGCCGUAAACGAUGAGUGCUAAGUGUUGGGGGGUUUCCGCCCCUCAGUGCUGCAGCUAACGCAUUAAGCACUCCGCCUGGGGAGUACGGUCGCAAGACUGAAACUCAAAUGAAUUGGCGGGG
rnacentral:rRNA from 1 species